UGACAAGCAAAUGCCACUCUGAAUACACAGACCUCAUCUGAUAUCGGAAGCUAAGCAGGGUUGGAUCUAGUUAGAACUUAGACAAGAGACCCACGAGGAAGUAACAAGGAUCUUCAG
rnacentral:rRNA from 1 species